GCGGAGGAUCAUUUACACUAAUUGUGAUUUAUCACAAAUCCAUUCAUCAAUGCAAUCAUUGUGAAGUUGUCUUCGGAUAACUUCGAACUUCUUAUUCUCUCUUUGCUUCAUGUUCGGCAUCUUCUACUUCGGUGUUGAUGGUGUUCAUGUUGACUUUCUUGGGUUGGGCAUCUCCUUCUUUGGGGUUGAGGUGUUCAGCCCAUUUUUUUUACCCUGGGGUGAAGUGCUUUCGGGCACAUCACUCAGCUUCCACUUUGAGUGGAUUCUGUGCGACACUGUGUGAAUGUUGUCUUUUGUGGAGUUCAUGUACUCAAAAUACAACUUUCAGCACUUGAUUCCUUGGUUCAGACCUCGAUGAAGGGCACUGCGAAAUGUGAAUGGCACUGUGAAUUGCACGCAUCUGGGAAAUGAGAGCUUCUUGAAUGCACACUGCUCCACAGGACACGUCACAUGGAUAAUCUUCCUCAGGGGGUAUGUGCCCCCUUGAGGCGUCACAGCUUUUUGUCAGCUUCAAUUUCCUUCGGGGAUUGUGGGUGAUGGUGAUGAACUCUUGCACAUCAAGCUUGUCUUAAUGUGUUGAAUUAUGAUCUUCGACUGCAAUGGUGAAUGGAGGGGUAGCGCCCAAUAUUUUCGUUGUGUGUUCGUCGAUCCAAGU
rnacentral:misc_RNA from 1 species